CAUGCGGACUCGAUUAGACUUCUUGUCACAUAAAUACAGGACGACAACUGCGGAACAAGAAUGAUUUAGGACGAUGCAAUCCAACCAUUAUCAACAGAAUCUAGGCCGGCAAUAAUAACUGUAUGAAGGGAUGGAUUGUAAGAGAGUAGGUAAAAUGGAGGUGUGAUACUUGGACUCUAAUGAGGUCUUAGUGUUUGCUGUAGGUGGCUUUGGUGCAUCAAGGGGACGGGGAAAAGAAUUAUUAGCAGAUUUUUUAGCCUUUGCAAAGUUGGCUGGAGUUAGUUUCCUCCAACUCAAAUAAAGAAAGCCUAAGCCAUCAAGGUGGUAGUACAGUUGGAACGGAGCUAAAGUUUCACCAGAGUGAUCCAAGUUCGAAACAUGCGGGCGUCGAUUAAACGUGGAGACCGGAUGCUCUCUGCCCGAUUUGUCAGGUGGAAUUGACAUCUGGUCCGCAGGUACUGAGGUGGUAUUGGGAUGACGUACUCACACGUGGAUAAUGAACCCUGUGGGAGGAACUUACGGGUCGAAAAGGGUAUUCGAAAACUUAUGGCAUGCAUCGAUCAUUUUUUGGUGGAAGGAGGCCCAGUGAGAGCUGCUACGCGGGUGAGGUUUCCUCUCCCCCCUCCUAUUUUUUUACCUAAGGUUUCGGAGUUGGGCCAUUCGUGUUAUAUCUCUCCAUUCUCUUUCCCCCUUAAAAAAAAAAAAAAAAAGUCAUUCUCGAAAUAUACUUACCCGAGUCUUUAAAAAAUGGAGCAUACUUGGCUUCUUUUUCUCUCAACGAAACUUAGUAGAAAAAA
rnacentral:lncRNA from 1 species